UCGCAUCGAUGAAGAACGCAGCGAAAUGCGAUAAGUAAUGUGAAUUGCAGAAUUCAGUGAAUCAUCGAAUCUUUGAACGCACCUUGCGCUCCUUGGUAUUCCGAGGAGCAUGCCUGUUUGAGUGUCAUUAAUAUAUCAACCUUCUCUUGUUGAGUGGUUUGGAUGUGGGGGUUUGCUGGCCUCUUGAAAGAGGUUAUAGCUCUCCUGAAAUGCAUUAGCGGAACAACCCUGUUCAUUGGUGUGAUAACUAUCUACGCUAUUGAAUGUGAAGGGCAGUUUGGCUUUCUAACAGUCCUUGGACAAAGCUCAUCAUUAAUGUGACCUCAAAUCAGGUAGGACUACCCGCUGAACUUAA
rnacentral:sRNA from 1 species